GAUGAACGCUGGCGGCGUGCCUAAUACAUGCAAGUCGAGCGAACAGACGAGGAGCUUGCUCCUCUGACGUUAUCGGCGGACGGGUGCGUCACACGUGGAUAACCUACCUAUACGACUGGGAUAACUUCGGGAAACCGUAGCUAAUACCGGAUAAUAUAUUGAACCGCAUUGUUCAAUAGUUAAAGACGGUUUUGCUGUCACUUAUAGCUGGAUCCGGGCUGCAUGAGCUAGUUGGUAAGGUAACGGCUUACCAAGGCAGCGAGGCGUAGCCGACCCGAGAGGGUGAUCGGCCACAUGGGAACUGAGACUGGUCCCAGACUCCUACGGGGGGCAGCAGUAGAGAAUCUUCCGCAAUGGGCGAAAGCCUGACGGUGCAACGCCGCGUGAGGGAUGAAGGUCUUCGGAUCGUAAAGCUCUGUUAUUAGGGAAGUACAAAUGUGUAAGUAACUAUGCACGUCUUGACGGUACCUAAUCAGAAAGCCACGGCUAACUACGUG
rnacentral:rRNA from 1 species